UAAGCGGAAGAAGAUGGAUGGGUUGUGGUGGCAGUAGACCACACGGCUCAUCUCACACUUCCCCGUCCUCUGCCAAGUCCUCUAAUGCUUUUUGUGGGAGCCUAAGACAUUUCUAAGCCAGGUGGGAAAUAUAAUCCCUCUAGUGUGUUCUGGAUCUUCCCCAGGACCUCCUCUCAGUUGGAGGUGCCUGGAAGAUCUCUUUAGGGAGACAGCCAGGGGGCAUUCUCACCAGAUACCCGAACCACCUCACUUGGCUCCUUUCAAUGCAAAGAAUCAGCGGCUCUUCUCUGAGUCCCUCCCAGAUACUAGAGCUUCUCACUCUGCCCAGGAGUGUAAGCCCAGAUACCUAAUGGAAGAAUCUAAUUUCCACCGCUUGUAUCUGCAUUCUUUCACAACCUUUUUCUUU